AGGGGUGAGACUCAGUGGUGGAAUGCUUGCCUGGCAUGCAUGAGGCCCUGGGUUCAAUCCCCAGCAUCAUAA
rnacentral:tRNA from 1 species